rnacentral:lncRNA from 1 species
UAGGAUGGUGUGUUUUUAAUUUUAAUUUUUGUUUUGUGAAAAAAUAGAUGAUAUCUGACUGAAGGUCUAAAGGAAAUUCUGUGCCAUAGCUGCUUUCCCAGUGCAAAGAGAUCCAUCAAAUGAUGGGGAGGUUUUGAUAGCACAUUUAUCUGUACCUUCACUUUCAAACCCCUUUGCAAAGAACAGAUGGAACCACAGUCUAAAAGCAGGCUUGAAUCCAUCUGGGAUAAUGACUGCAAAAGCACAUUUCUAAUCAGCCUACUCUGACUAUAAUAUUUUGGCUAUUUUCCAAAUGGCAAGCAUAAACGAAGAAGAAAAAAAAUAGUGGAAAACACCUAAAAUUAUAGUGAAGAAGAGCUUUGCUUAAUAGUACACUUAAAACUUUUGGUCCAGAAAGUGGAGUAGAAGAUGAAGGAAGGCUUCAGACUGAAGUGAACACCCUAAGCAAAGAUGACUUUAUCAACACCUGACUGCAUACCUCCAUGAACUUUAAUAUUCCUCUUAAAUCAGCUGAAAUUAAAUUAUUCUAGUCAGUAGUUUUUUGGUUGGAUUAAAAUAUGACAUUUCAUUAAGAAAAAAUAGUCAUAAGCAAAACCAGUCUGGGAACAGCUCUGUAAGGUUCAUUAAUGUUAAAAGAG